rnacentral:tRNA from 1 species
GGAGGAUUGGCUGAGUGGUCGAAAGCAACAGUUUGCUAAAUUGUCGAAGGUGUAAAUCUUCCGUUGGUUCGAAUCCAACAUCCUCCG